GGGAGCCGGAGGGAAACCGAGUCUUAAUUGGGCGUUAAGUUGCAGGGUAUAGACCCGAAACCCGGUGAUCUAGCCAUGGGCAGGUUGAAGGUUGGGUAACACUAACUGGAGGACCGAACCGACUAAUGUUGAAAAAUUAGCGGAUGACCUGUGGCUGGGGGUGAAAGGCCAAUCAAACCGGGAGAUAGCUGGUUCUCCCCGAAAGCUAUUUAGGUAGCGCCUCGUGAAUUCAUCUCCGGGGGUAGAGCACUGUUUCGGCUAGGGGGCCAUCCCGGCUUACCAACCCGAUGCAAACUGCGAAUACCGGAGAAUGUUAUCACGGGAGACACACGGCGGGUGCUAACGUCCGUCGUGAAGAGGGAAACAACCCAGACCGCCAGCUAAGGUCCCAAAGUCAUGGUUAAGUGGGAAACGAUGUGGGAAGGCCCAGACAGCCAGGAUGUUGGCUUAGAAGCAGCCAUCAUUUAAAGAAAGCGUAAUAGCUCACUGGUCGAGUCGGCCUGCGCGGAAGAUGUAACGGGGCUAAACCAUGCACCGAAGCUGCGGCAGCGACACUGUGUGUUGUUGGGUAGGGGAGCGUUCUGUAAGCCUGUGAAGGUGUGUCGUGAGGCAUGCUGGAGGUAUCAGAAGUGCGAAUGCUGACAUAAGUAACGAUAAAGCGGGUGAAAAGCCCGCUCGCCGGAAGACCAAGGGUUCCUGUCCAACGUUAAUCGGGGCAGGGUGAGUCGACCCCUAAGGCGAGGCCGAAAGGCGUAGUCGAUGGGAAACGGGUUAAUAUUCCCGUACUUGGUGUUACUGCGAAGGGGGGACGGAGAAGGCUAUGUUGGCCGGGCGACGGUUGUCCCGGUUUAAGCGUGUAGGUGUGUGUUCCAGGUAAAUCCGGUUCACUUUAACACUGAGGCGUGACGACGAGGCACUACGGUGCUGAAGCAACAAAUGCCCUGCUUCCAGGAAAAGCCUCUAAGCAUCAGGUAACAUCAAAUCGUACCCCAAACCGACACAGGUGGUCAGGUAGAGAAUACCAAGGCGCUUGAGAGAACUCGGGUGAAGGAACUAGGCAAAAUGGUGCCGUAACUUCGGGAGAAGGCACGCUGACACGUAGGUGAAGUGAUUUACUCAUGGAGCUGAAGUCAGUCGAAGAUACCAGCUGGCUGCAACUGUUUAUUAAAAACACAGCACUGUGCAAACACGAAAGUGGACGUAUACGGUGUGACGCCUGCCCGGUGCCGGAAGGUUAAUUGAUGGGGUCAGCGCAAGCGAAGCUCCUGAUCGAAGCCCCGGUAAACGGCGGCCGUAACUAUAACGGUCCUAAGGUAGCGAAAUUCCUUGUCGGGUAAGUUCCGACCUGCACGAAUGGCGUAAUGAUGGCCAGGCUGUCUCCACCCGAGACUCAGUGAAAUUGAACUCGCUGUGAAGAUGCAGUGUACCCGCGGCAAGACGGAAAGACCCCGUGAACCUUUACUAUAGCUUGACACUGAACAUUGAGCCUUGAUGUGUAGGAUAGGUGGGAGGCUUUGAAGUGUGGACGCCAGUCUGCAUGGAGCCGACCUUGAAAUACCACCCUUUAAUGUUUGAUGUUCUAACGUGGACCCGUUACCCGGGUUGCGGACAGUGUCUGGUGGGUAGUUUGACUGGGGCGGUCUCCUCCUAAAGAGUAACGGAGGAGCACGAAGGUUGGCUAAUCCUGGUCGGACAUCAGGAGGUUAGUGCAAUGGCAUAAGCCAGCUUGACUGCGAGCGUGACGGCGCGAGCAGGUGCGAAAGCAGGUCAUAGUGAUCCGGUGGUUCUGAAUGGAAGGGCCAUCGCUCAACGGAUAAAAGGUACUCCGGGGAUAACAGGCUGAUACCGCCCAAGAGUUCAUAUCGACGGCGGUGUUUGGCACCUCGAUGUCGGCUCAUCACAUCCUGGGGCUGAAGUAGGUCCCAAGGGUAUGGCUGUUCGCCAUUUAAAGUGGUACGCGAGCUGGGUUUAGAACGUCGUGAGACAGUUCGGUCCCUAUCUGCCGUGGGCGCUGGAGAACUGAGGGGGGCUGCUCCUAGUACGAGAGGACCGGAGUGGACGCAUCACUGGUGUUCGGGUUGUCAUGCCAAUGGCACUGCCCGGUAGCUAAAUGCGGAAGAGAUAAGUGCUGAAAGCAUCUAAGCACGAAACUUGCCCCGAG
rnacentral:rRNA from 1 species